GCAUGUUCUUCCUGUGAGUGAAGACACCUGGUGGAGACCUGACGAGCUGUGCAGUCAGGACCAAAGCUUUUCCUGGAUCACAACUCCGAUGAAAGCUUAUCUCCCUUGAUGUUGGAGAGUGUGGACAGGUAGGACAGGGGACCCUGGACACCUCAUGUAGCUUGUCUUCUGCUAUGCACACUAGGGAUGCGCCUCCAUCUGCUCCUUCAGCACCACUGCACUGUGGCCCGGUCCAGGAGCUGGUCCGGACCGUCAGCGGGGCCUCAGCCCUGCUGAGGGAUGACCGCCUCAUGUUGACGUCCUCACGCUCAGAAGAAGAAGACGGCAGGUCCCCCUCCUCUGCUGAGCAGAGAGCUGGUAGCUGCAGAACCCCGGGCGAUCAUUUCAACAGGCUGCUUUCACGUCAAGGGCGGAGGAAGAGCUCUGAGGAGGAAGAACUGUGCUGCGGGGGGGAGCUCACUCCAGUGUCAAAAGUCAAAACAACGCCGACGCAACACCCCCCCCCCC